AGGAACGAUGUGGUUUAAUUUCGUAUGAUACGCGAGGAACCUUACCUGGGCGUAGAACGCAUUCGGAAUCAGGCCGAAAGGCCUGCGCCAGCGAUGGCCGCUUGCGAGGUGCUGCAUGGUUGUCGUCAGCUCGUGCCGUGAGGUGUCGGGUUAAGUCCCAUAACGAGCGCAACCCCUACUGCUAGUUGCCAGCGGGUCAUGCCGGGGACUCUAGCGGAACUGCCAGCGUAAGCUGCGAGGAAGGUGGGGAUGACGUCAAAUCAGCACGGCCCUUACGUCCAGGGCUACACACGUGUUACAAUGGCCGGUACAGAGGGCAGCCACCCCGCGAGGGGGCGCGAAUCCCGAAAGCCGGUCCCAGUUCGGAUCGGAGUCUGCAACCCGACUCCGUGAAGCUGGAUUCGCUAGUAAUCGCGCAUCAGCCACGGCGCGGUGAAUACGUUCCCGGGCCUU
rnacentral:rRNA from 1 species